ensembl:lncRNA
UCUUUAUUCUGUAAAAGUACUGUUCAGCAGAGGCCAGAACAUCUGUGACUUGUCAACACUGCUUGAGCCACAAAUCCAAAACAGCACCAUACUAGCUGCUAUGAGGAAAGUUCCUUCCAGCCACUCCUGGGUCUUUCAAUCUCUGUGCACUCAUUCCAUAUCCUGCUUACGUUUGUGCACUGUGCAGUCUUCACAAAUACCAGUUCUGCUAUGGCCAGAGGAGCUUCUUAUGUUUUUUGCUGGUAGAUACACUGCACAUAGAGGAUCAAGCAUAGACUGCAAUUGAUGGAAAAUGUAUGUUAAGCCUCAUCAUCAGACCUCUAAAGGAGAUUCCAUGUCCACUCCAGUUUUGAUACACGAACAUAGUCUAUAGAAGUGUCUUCAGCUCUUUCAAAAUGUAUUUUUUUUUCUCUAUCUACUGUGUCUCAUUACUUCUCCAACUUCUCUGUGAGAGAGCUCAGAAUAAGAAGAAAAUACUUUUAAGUAUGGCAAAUUCAGGUAAUACUGUGAUUUCUCUGGGGGUUGACUAUGAUCAGAUGCCAGAAAAUAUACCAAAUGUAUUUUUAAGGUAAU